rnacentral:rRNA from 1 species
AUUGAACGCUGGCGGCAGGCCUAACACAUGCAAGUCGAACGAGCGGCGGACGGGUGAGUAAUGUCUGGGGAUCUGCCUGAUGGAGGGGGAUAACUACUGGAAACGGUAGCUAAUACCGCAUACCAUCAGAUGUACCCAGAUGGGAUUAGCUGGUAGGUAGGGUAACGGCUCACCUAGGCGACGAUCCCUAGCUGGUCUGAGAGGAUGACCAGCCACACUGGAACUGAGACACGGUCCAGACUCCUACGGGAGGCAGCAGUGGGGAAUAUUGCACAAUGGGCGCAAGCCUGAUGCAGCCAUGCCGCGUGUAUGAAGAAGGCCUUCGGGUUGUAAAGUACUUUCAGUCGGGAGGCGUUACCGGCAGAAGAAGCACCGGCUAACUCCGUGCCAGCAGCCGCGGUAAUAC